CUACGCAACUCCUACGGGAGGCAGCAGUGGGGAAUAUUGCACAAUGGGCGCAAGCCUGAUGCAGCCAUGCCGCGUGUAUGAAGAAGGCCUUCGGGUUGUAAAGUACUUUCAGCAGUGAGGAAGGUGGGUAUGUUAAUAGCAUACUCAUUUGACGUUAGCUGCAGAAGAAGCACCGGCUAACUCCGUGCCAGCAGCCGCGGUAAUACGGAGGGUGCGAGCGUUAAUCGGAAUUACUGGGCGUAAAGCGCAUGCAGGUGGUUUGUUAAGUCAGAUGUGAAAGCCCGGGGCUCAACCUCGGAAUUGCAUUUGAAACUGGCAAACUAGAGUACUGUAGAGGGGGUAGAAUUUCAGGUGUAGCGGUGAAAUGCGUAGAGAUCUGAAGGAAUACCGGUGGCGAAGGCGGCCCCCUGGACAGAUACUGACACUCAGAUGCGAAAGCGUGGGGAGCAAACAGGAUUAGAUACCCUGGUAG
rnacentral:rRNA from 1 species